GUCCCCCCUCAAUCAUUUCUCGUGAAAGGAUGCUCGGCCAUGAUGGUUUUACUUUGGCAUUCUUCCAAGUUUGUUGGGAUGUGAUCAAAGCAGAUAUUAUGGGGGUGUUCCAUGACUUUCAUGCUAGAAUUUGAGUUUCUAUUUUGAGUGAAAAAUUUACCUGCAGAAAUGUCACUUUGGUGCUAAUAGAGAGAAGUUACGUGAGUUAGCUUUGAGUGGCAUACC